UACGUAGGGUGCAAGCGUUAAUCGGAAUUACUGGGCGUAAAGCGUGUGUAGGCGGAUCGUUAAGUACCUUGUGAAAUCCCACGGCUUAACCGUGGAACUGCUUGGUAUACUGGCGGUCUUGAGCCAGCUAGGGGCUACCGGAACAAAUGGUGGAGCGGUGAAAUGCGUAGAUAUCAAGAGGAACACCUGAGGUGAAGACGGGUUGCUGGGCCGACACUGACGCUGAGUGCGCGAAAGCCAGGGGAGCAAACGGG
rnacentral:rRNA from 1 species